rnacentral:lncRNA from 1 species
AGCUUGGUGAGCAGCUGCGACCUGUGCAUAACUUGGGGCGCCGCCAGGGGCUCGCAGGUUCCACGUCCGGCGCCUGGAGAAGGAAGACGCGCGUCCCCGGCCGCGGCGCCGAAGCCGGCUGGGGGACCGCCUGGUCCCGGGCCAGAGCUGGGAGGCGGUGUUCCGUGAGCCGCCUGGUCUGGGGUGCGGGGGGCGGGAAGCGGCCCCUUCGUGUGCGCUUGGGCGAGGCCGGGCGGCGCUUCUGUCCUCCUACUCGGACCCGCAGGUUUCUGGUCCUCAUACCGUGUGGUUGAGUGAAAUCAAAACUUCCACGAUAGCAAUGCUGAUUGGACAAAGAAUGUGUUGUGGACACAAAACCAAACUCUGGAGGACAGAGGAUUCAUUCCAAGGUGAAAAAUGGCAAACUUAUCCAGUGAUCUCCUCUAUAGAGAAGGUCUGCUUGUAUUCAAUGACUGGUCUACGUGGGGGUGUGAAGUCCCCUUACUCCACCUGUGAAGAGUCUUCCCAGUUUCAGACCACCCUCCCAGCCUCCUGUUAUUGGCUAAGGCCAUUUU